rnacentral:rRNA from 1 species
UACGUAGGUGGCGAGCGUUGUCCGGAUUUACUGGGCGUAAAGAGCGCGCAGGCGGUCGUGCAAGUCGCGUGUGAAAGCCCCGGGCUCAACUCGGGAACUGCGCUUGAUACUGUCGAGCUAGAGUGUGGAAGGGGCGAUUGGAAUUCCGUGUGUAGCGGUGAAAUGCGUAGAUAUACGGAGGAACACCAGAGGCGAAGGCGGAUCGCUGGGCCAACACUGACGCUGAGACGCGAAAGCUAGGGUAGCAAACGGG